CCUGUCUCAACAAAGAUGGGCAAUUUGCAUGCCUCGCCUUUAUGGAGCAUGUCUGAAACCAGAAUCAAGUUUCACGUGUCAGCUAAUUCUGCCUUUUCGCUUCCCCUGUGCUUUACUUCAGGUCCUAGAAGUCCACCUGCACACGAGCUCACCCCGGUGCAAGCCGGGCUCCAACCUAAUCCAUAGAGGCUCUACGUUGCUCUCAGUGAGCCACAUUACCGGGAUGGCAUGCAAGAAUCAAGGGGCCAGAGUCAAGAGCUGCGUUCCAUUGUAAUUCUCCAGCGGUCAUGGAUAGCUGGAGCCUUUGAAAUGGACACAGAUGAUUUAUGGGCAGAAAGCAUUGAGAGGAUAAAGUCUCAGGAAUGAAAAUCCAAGAGGAGAAAUAAAUGGGGAAUGCAUCCCAGGGAGAGGAAUAAUAUUUACUAGAGUAUGUUUGUUUCAAGGCGGAUUCCUAAGUUUUACUGCUUAGAGUGGUAAUCUUUGUGAGAAAUUUCAGGCCAGAAGAGAGGACUUGAGAAGCCAGUCUGGGAACUCCUUUAGGUCAGGGAUCAUGGUCUUAGCUCCGAGUCGCAAUGCUCUGUGCAGUGACUGGUACAUGACAGGUGCCAAAUUCAUGUACGCUGAGUUGAACUAUAGACCUUUCUACAGCGUCUCUGCUUCCAAGUAUAGGCUUCAGCUGGGCAGAGGGGCUGUGGGUCCUACCUGGGUGUCAUUCUUCAGUGCACCGAGGAUUCCUGACCGCAGCGUCUGGCUAAGGGGCUGAGACAGGAGCAGGACGGUGAAGAUGGCUGCGAAAGCAGGGGAUUUCUGCUCCAAGCGCUCCCUGUCCUCCAUCGAAUGAUGCAGGGUUCGCACGGAUCCUUUCUACUCUGCUCUCAAGGGAUGCGAAAGAUUCGGAUGUCAGCUUUCCUCCCGAAGGCUUUCAGAAUCAGACUGAUUGCUCUGUCUCGGCCAGUACCUUCCAGAUUCUCUCAGAGGGACCUCCUGAUGGUGUUCAGAUGGAAGGUGUCAGUGUUUCACAGCAAAUGCAAUAACGAGGCCCCAUGCUUCCCAAGAACCAUUAAAUUCAAUUGGAUUUCAGCAACUGGUGAGGUGACCUCAGCAAAGGCCUAUUUACAUGCGGCUUGAAACGGGUUCCCCUCUGAGCAGCUCAGCACAUUGUCAAACCGGUCUUGACUUGAAAGACAUAUGGCAUCAGCAUGGAAGAUGUCAUGUAAGUUACCCCCACCCCCACCCCCAAGAUUUUCGAAAGAUGUUACAUCCUGCAUCUGGGGCCUACAGAGCUGAGGUGGUGGAGAGCAGGCAGCUCUGCAGGGGAAGCUGCCAGGGGGCCGGAGACCCCAUCUGGAGAAGGUCCUGAGCUGGUUUCUGUGGAGCAAAUGAAGGAGAAAAACAACUGACCG
rnacentral:lncRNA from 1 species